rnacentral:tRNA from 1 species
UGGGGGUUAGUUAAAUGGUAUAACCACGGAUUUUGAUUCCGUCAUUAUAGGUUCGAUUCCUAUACCCUUUGCCA